UGUGUGGAUCGACCAGAGCAAAGAAGCAAGGGGACAAACCCUAACUUCAUGAACUUCUCAAAAUCAAAAGGGAAUUAGGAGCCUAAAUGGAUGCAUGAACUCAAAUUUCGAAUGAUCUGAGCUUGUUUAACGAUUGGAGUUAAGGAAGAAAGUUCGAGUCAAGUGAAGCAACAAGGGAAUCAAGACCGAGGUAAAUCUCAUGUCUAGCUAUCAAGCUUCGCCCGGUUCGAACACGCCUCAAGCCCGUCAAGCGUUCCGCAUUUUGUAAAAGUCAAUGUUUAAUACUUUGUC